GUACACGCUGUGACUAGCAUAUCAAUAAGCGGAGGAAAAGAAACUAACAAGGAUUCCCCUAGUAACGGCGAGUGAAGCGGGAAGAGCUCAAAUUUGAAAUCUUAAAGGGUUUCCCUUUACGAAUUGUAGUUUAAAGAAGUGUUUUCUGUUGAGGUUUUGGUAAAAGUUCUUUGGAAUAGGACAUCAUAGAGGGUGAGAAUCCCGUAUUUGACCUUUACUUUCAACUUUGUGAUACACUUUCAAAGAGUCGGAUUGUUUGGGAAUGCAGUCCAAAAUGGGUGGUAAAUUUCAUCUAAAGCUAAAUAUUGGCGAGAGACCGAUAGCGAACAAGUACCGUGAGGGAAAGAUGAAAAGAACUUUGAAAAGAGAGUUAAACAGUACGUGAAAUUGUCAAAAGGGAAGCGUUUGACACCAGUGUUGUUUUUCUGAAAAUCAAUUAAAGAACUGUUUAUGCUAAGCUGUUUAGACUUUAUCAGCUAAUCUGUUUAGUUUUGAGCUUUUCUUUAAUGCACUUUUCAGUUAACAAGUCAACAUCAAUUUCUUUUGCUGUAAAAAAGCUUGAGGAAGGUGGCUUGAGAUUCGUCUUAAGUGUUUAUAGCCUCUUGCCUAUGCAGUCGGAGAGAUUGAGGUCUGCAGGCGUAGAUCCUUCGGGGCUAAAUGCAUUUGUGCUAAGUUAUAGCAUUUUAUAGACAACUUGUUGACUAUGAUUUGUCUUGUAGCUUACUCGCUUAUGUUAUUUUACCUACGCUUAGGAUGUUGAGUCGUAGAGCACGCA
rnacentral:rRNA from 1 species